CGCCCGAGUUGUUCGAGGCCACGAACACCAGCCCUCGGGGCUGGACGUCGCCGGUUCAAAUCCGGUCUCGGGCGUC
rnacentral:tRNA from 1 species